rnacentral:tRNA from 1 species
AGCAGUGUGGCUCAGUGGAAAGAGCACGGGCUUGAGAGUCAGAGGUCAUGGGUUCGAAUCCCGGCUCUGCCA